GUGGAGUUGAGGUAGUCUAUAUAUAUACAUUAAUACAUUUAUUGCUUAGGGUUCAUAUUGGAUUUUGUAUAUAACAAUAGCUUUUGCUCUAGGUAUAAUCUUUCAAAAUACAUUAAAUAAUAGUUUCAACUUCACAAAGUGAGCAUUGUUUAGUCUUCGGUCAAAGUUUAAAUGUGCUAGAAAUAUUAUUGUUUCUUGUCUUAUAUUUUGAUAAUGAAAUCUCUAAUGAUGAUGAAAUUUUAAUACUGCUUUGGAAUUUAAAAAAAUGCUAAAAAUAUAAGAUACACAUAUUUGCUACAAAAUAGCAACCAAUACAAUUAUA
rnacentral:lncRNA from 1 species